CUAUCACUCCUACGGGAGGCAGCAGUGGGGAAUAUUGGACAAUGGGCGAAAGCCUGAUCCAGCCAUUCCGCGUGUGUGAAGAAGGCCUUCGGGUCGUAAAGCACUUUAAGUUGGGAGGAAGGGCUCAUAGCGAAUACCUGUGAGUUUGACGUUACCAACAGAAUAAGCACCGGCUAACUUCGUGCCAGCAGCCGCGGUAAUACGAAGGGUGCAAGCGUUAAUCGGAAUUACUGGGCGUAAAGCGCAUGCAGGCGGCCUGUUAAGUCAGAUGUGAAAGCCCGGGGCUUAACCUCGGAAUUGCAUUUGAAACUGGCAGGCUAGAGUCUUGUAGAGGGGGUAGAAUUUCAGGUGUAGCGGUGAAAUGCGUAGAGAUCUGAAGGAAUACCAGUGGCGAAGGCGGCCCCCUGGACAAAGACUGACGCUCAGAUGCGAAAGCGUGGGGAGCAAACAGGAUUAGAUACCCUGGUAG
rnacentral:rRNA from 1 species